rnacentral:rRNA from 1 species
UACGUAGGUGACAAGCGUUGUCCGGAUUUACUGGGCGUAAAGAGCGCGCAGGCGGUCGAUCAAGUCGAGUGUGAAAGCCCCCGGCUCAACUGGGGAGGGUCAUUCGAUACUGAUCGACUCGAAGGCAGGAGAGGGUAGUGGAAUUCCCGGUGUAGUGGUGAAAUGCGUAGAUAUCGGGAGGAACACCGGUGGCGAAGGCGGGUCUCUGGGCCGAAAUUGACGCUGAGGAGCGAAAGCGUGGGGAGCAAACAGG